rnacentral:rRNA from 1 species
UACAGAGGGUGCGAGCGUUGUCCGGAAUCACUGGGCGUAAAGGGCGCGUAGGCGGCCCGGUAAGUAGGGGGUGAAAUCCCGCGGCUCAACCGCGGGGCUGCCUCCUAGACUGCCGGGCUCGAGCAGAGCAGAGGCUAGCGGAAUUCCCGGUGUAGCGGUGGAAUGCGUAGAGAUCGGGAAGAACAUCGGUGGCGAAGGCGGCUAGCUGGGCUCUUGCUGACGCUGAGGCGCGAAAGCUAGGGGAGCAAACGGGG